CAAAUUUUAUUAAUAUUGUUUAAUUUUAAGUUUUGGUAAUUACACAACUCUUACAAAUUUAUUUAAUAUAUUUAAUUAAAAUAAAUAGAUAGAAAAAUCUAUCUAGGAUUAUAAUUUCAAAUAUAUACAUGCAUAUUCUUAAAUAUUGAUUUUAUAUUUAAUUAAAUCAAAUUUAUAUUGUAUUGUCAAAUCUUAUAGUAAUUUAGUUUGCAAAUAAAACUUUUAGUUAAUUAUUUAAUAUUAAUUUAUAGAGUUUUUACUAUCUAUUCUAUUAAAAGGGAAGCAGUCUUGAAAAAUCUACUUAUACAAAGUUGUUUGGACUAUUUCCUAAGAGUUAAUAAUUUCAUAGUCUUACUUAAAUUUCUCCUAACAAUAUAUUUUCAUAUAUUUCUCUGAUUUUCUUUAGAUAUUAUAAGUGUGUCACUCCUAUAUUUAUGGUAACUACUAUAUUACCUUCUAUAAAUUUCACCCUUUGAUUAUAAAUUUCUCCAUUUAGUUACUGAUAUCCCAUAUACGAUUUACUAACCAACAUUUUUUUGAUGCAAUAAUAUAUAAACUUGUGGGUCCAUAGACUAAUCUAUUAUGCAUGUGACCAUAUAUAUAUAUAUAUUAUAUAAUGUUUAUUUUAAUUAUUAAAUUCAUAUCUAUAUAAAACGAAUGGUAUGAUGCAUAUCACCAUUAAAUAAUAUUUGCCAUUUGAAUUAAAAUAGUCUGGUAAGUAAUACAUGUAUUUAAAAAAAAUGAGUUAAUGAAGUAUGAUAAAUAAUUAUCACAAAAUCAUGUUUUACUAUAGAACCGAUCAAACUUAGUAGUAUAUUAUAUUAUUUUCAGUUCAUAAAAAACGAUAUUAACAUAUAAGUACUGAACAAAUUUGAAAAAAUGCAUAUGAAGUUAGUUAAAAAUUAUCCUCGGGCCAACAUAUUUAAUUGAGUUUUUACUAUAGUUCAGAUACAACUACUUAAACUAUAUUAUGGAAAAUUAAAAAAUACAAAUAAUUUUGAAAAUAUUGCUCCAUAUUUUCUCUUUUUUUUUUAAAAAAAAAAUUAGUUGACUUGAUUUUUACUUAUGAAGCACAAUUACUAAAAUCAUAAAUAAUGAUUAGUAUUUUGUUUUGGGCAACAAAUAAUGUUUAGUAUAAAAGAUGCUCAAACACAAGUCCACUUCUGUAAUUCAAUUUAAAUAACAAAAUAAAUUUACAAAUAUAAUUAGGUCCAGAAUUAAUAUUUAUAUUAUUUGAGUUUCAAGCUGGCAGGUUGCCGCGGGUUAUUCAAUCAUAUAUUAUAUACUAAACACACUGAGAUUGGUAUAAACUCUUCACUAGGUUUGGAAUACUUAAGUUAAACAAGAUUUUUCUCUUUUGAAAAAGUAUUAACCCCGUGCUUCAAAGCUUGAUUCAAAAGUUUGAAUUGAGUUUUGAAAAAAUGUCAUCCAAUUUAUAUGGGAUUUUAUCGGGUCGACCAAUAUUGGAUAGCAGGUUAAUGAUAGUUUUUACGUUUUUACCGACUUUUAUCAGAUUUUUAUAUAUAAGGUUUUAACAAAAUUCAGACCAGAUUUAUAUGAAUCACCUGAUUUACUUAUGAGAUUGUAGGUUUGGUUCGGGUAUGAAAAUACUGCUAAAAAUAUUAAAAAUUCUACAAUAUAUAUACUAUUAGAUUAGCCCAAAAUCUGUCAAGUAAAUUUUUUGUCUCAUCAACUCAACAAAUAUAACUCUUAAAAAUACACACAAAAUGCAACGAUGACGUUGUAACAUAAGAAUACACAUAUAAAAUCUAAAAUAAACUAUUUGAUAAAUUAUAUAAUUUUAAACUAAAAUUCAUUACUUUUUCGAUAUAUAACACUUUAUAACUUAAUAAUAUACUUCAAAACAUCAAAACCAAAAUAAUAAUUCAUAUCAAACAAUAUUCUUAAUCGGAAAAAAAAUCCGCGCUUUUGAAGCGCGGGUCAAAAUCGAGUAUGUAUUAUAUUUUCAGGGUUGUAGUAGAUAUGGUUUGUUGAUAUCAAACUAUGAAACAAAUGUUAUUUUGUGAUAUAUACAUAUAUAGCAUUUUGAAACUAAUAAUCACUAUCAGUAUCUUCUGAUAAUUCAAAUUCUAAUAUUAAUAAUUUAGUUUUUAUUUCUUGAAUAUCUGGUUGAUUUUGGAAUAUUUCGUUUAUUUUCUUUUUCAUCUUGCAUUAUGUGAAUCUAUGUCCAGCUCUUUUACAGUUUUAACGGACUAAUUUUUAUGCAUUUAUUGGUUUAUAUUUUUUUCUUCUUUGAAUAAUAUUUGAUUAGUUUUUUUUUGUCAUCUGUGUAUUUUAUUAUUGGUGUAUAUUACUUUGGUGUAUAUUACUGUUUGUAUCUACAAAACAACAAAUAGAAUAUAUUUGUACAAAUACGAAAAACUACCUACCAAGAAUCAUGAUGACAGACAAAUGGAACCUACGAGAAAACUUAUGCAACCAAGUGUAAUUAAAAAACAAGAUUCCCUAUCAACCACCACUCAAAGUGUCGACACCACUCAGAAAAAGACACAUAUUAAAGCACUCAACAUGCAUCUUCUACUAUAAAUAUCUCUUCUAUCAAUGAAGAGAGUGAUAGAAGAGAGACACAAGCAAUUAAAGUUUUCAGAUUUCAAGCUUUUAAAGUUUUAAAAUCUACUUUUGUAAUUGAUAUAUUAAAAUUUGUACUUUAAUCCAAACUCAAUAAAACAAGUUUAUACUCGACGUUUAGCACCUCUCUUCUUUUAGACUUAAGCCUUAGCAACUCUCGAUCUCAGUAAGUACCCUUUAAAAGGUUAAUACUUCGUAUCUGGAAGUAUCGAGGAGACUUCACAUCUUGUAUCACUUAAAGACAGUAUUCCCUUUCAAGUAUCAACCACGAUUCAAAGUGUCGGCAUCACUAAGAAAGAGAGACGUAUUGAAGCACUCAGCAUGCAUCUUCUACUAUGAAUACCACCUCUCUCAACAUGGUUUAUUUCCUUGUAUUUCUGCUUGGAACACCUACAGUAACAAUUUUUUUGCAGAAAGGUAAGAAUCUUCCUAAAGGGGUUUAAAUUAGUCUGAGUUCACGAAAACUUUGUUUUGAAAACCUUUUAAGAAAACUAUGCAAAAAAUUGCAUCGAUUUGUUGAAUUUUUUUUAUAAAAUAAGGUGAAAUCGCUUGUACCUAUUUUUAUUGAUAAAAGGGUAUUUAUAGUAAAAGAUGCAUGCUGAGUCCUUUGAUACGUGCCUCUUUUUGAGUGGUGCCGACAUUUUGAAUAGUGGUUGCUAGAAAAUUUUAUCUUUUAGUUACAUUUUGUUGAAGAAGUCUUCGAGUAGGUCCUAUCUGUCUGCCAUCACGAUUCUUGGUAUGUAGUUUUUGUUUUUGUAUUUAUACAGAUAUAUUAUGUGUAUUAUUUUGUAGAUACAAAAAGUGAGAUACAAAAAUAAUAAAAUACAUAAAUAAGAUCUAAAAGUUUAUCAAGAAAAGGAAGCAUUUUUGAUUUCACGAUAUUAUAUACCAAUUAAAUUUUGUAGAUUUGGAUUAUGUCUCCUUUUUGUAAGAUUGUUUGAUGUAUUUUAAAUGUUGGAAUAAUGUAUCCUAAAAUACAAAUUCUAAUAUGACAAAAUACACACAAUAUUGAAAUGAAGAAACAUAGAUGAUUUAUUUUAAAAUUAAUAAAAAAUAUAAUAUUGUGUUUAUGUUUAUAUAAACUUUAUAUAAGUUUCAUAUAUAGCAAUUAUUAAUUUAUGAUUUUAGUGGAACCAUGUAUAUAUCUAAAUAUAUUUUUUAAAAUUGAAUUAUGUCAUAUUUUAUAUUAUUUUAGUUUGAAACUAAUUUUUGAUAUUACUUCAUUGUAUUUAUUAAAUAUUAAUUUAUAGAGAUUUUAGUAUAUGUCUACUAGGUUUUUUGCCCGCAUAUGCGGACAUAAUAUUUUUAUGAAUAUUUAUUAUUUUAUGUUUUAUUAAUUCAAAAAUCACCAUAAUAAAUUCUUAUUUAUGUUUCCAAAAUUUUAAAUCAAACAUCAAAUUAUUUAUAUUUGAAAAACAUUCACACCUUAGAAAUAUUUUAGAAAAUACAUUUAUACAGAUGUUUUUGUUUGAUUAAUAUUUAAUUAUAAAUUAUUUUAUAUCUUAAUUUUUUUUAAUAUUAACUUAUAUUAUGAAAAAUAUUAUUUCUAUAUAACAAUAGAAUAUAUAUAUAUAAGAAUUUUCUUAUUUUCUAGAAGUAUUCUUUUAUAAAUUAUCUAAUAUAACAUAUAUACCUAAUAUAAAAUUUGUUUUCAGUUAUAAAAUAAAUUAUAUCUAAAUAUUCUUCAAGAAUAUCAACGACAUUAACUUGUUUUAGAGAGCUUGAUUGCGAAAACUGUGCUAACCUUUUAUGCAUUGAAUAAAACCGUAAGUUUUCAAAGCGACAAAAUCUCAACUGCUCCAGCUGAUUCUAGCUUUGCAUUCUCAUAAACAUGUAAGAUAAUUUUUUUUAAAAAAAUAUUUGUUCUCGAAAAUAGCCCAUCAUAGGUUGACAUAACAGUACUAAAAGAUUAGUAGUACCAACAGUCUUUGAAUCGAUUUGUGUUGUUGACUGUAAAAGAAAAGGCGAACGAUAUAUUAUAAGAGAUAUGUUUUCACAUAUGUUCAAAGAAUGUACAGCACGGGAAUAUGAAUAUAUACACAAGCUUAGGCCUUGAUUACUAGAGUAUUAGCAUUAGCAUUAGCAUUAGCAGUAGUAGUAUGUUAAAGGAGUUGUAUAAUUUUACUAAACUGUUUGAUAGAAUGAUUGGUAAAGCAGUAUGAAUAUGUUAUUUAAAAUUAUUAUAAAAAUUAGUAUAUAAUAUAUUUAUUUUUAAUGAAUAUAUAUAUAUAUAUUAACAUAUAAAAUUAAAAAGUUAUUUAAUUAAUUUAUUUUAUUUAAUAAGUUUAAAAUUAUGUUUAUAUCGAAAAUUAUUAUUUUAAAAUAAAAUUUAUAAUUAAAAUAUCUAUUUUUAAAAAUAAUAUUUCACAUUUUAAAUACAUUAAAUUAUAUUUUACAUGUGAAAUACUACUUUAAAAAAAAACAAUUCUUAUUGUAAAUUAAUUUUAGAAAUCAAAAUUUUAUUUUAUGGAUAUAAAAAUAAUUUUAUGAUAUUAUUAAAUAAAAUAAAUGAAUUAAUUAUAUAUUUUCUUUAAUUUUAUAAAUUAUAAAUGCAAAUACUCUUCUAAAAGCUUCAUAUGAAAGCAUUGGCCAUAGAACAUUUGGAAAGCAUUAACAUUUAGCAAAUAUUUUUCUAAAUAUUUUUCUAACAAUUAUUGAUUGGAUAAUGUAGAGCAUAAUGAUAAUGAUAAUGCUAAUAUUAUCUAUAUUAUUAAAAGAGAAGUACGCAUUAAAAAUACCCUUAAGUUUUUUAAUUUAUUUCCACUUCCAUGCCACUGAAAAUUAAAUUAAACUACCUAUUUUAAUGUUUGUCUUUUCCAGUUAAAUUAAUGAGUUUUCCUUAAUCAAAUUUAAACUUAAUGUCAUUAAAUGACCCUAUCUAUUUUAAUGCUUGUCUUUUUCAGUUAAAUUAAUGAGUUUUCCUUAAUCAAAUUUAAACUUAAUAUCAUUAAAUGAACAUAAAAAUACAUCAUAUAUUUAAUGUAGCUUAUUAUGAACGAUGACGAGUACGACCCAAUAAUGAACUUAUAUUUUAUUUUAUUUUGCCGAAAACGUGAAUCACUUGACAUAUGUAAUAUUUAAAAUAUAUUAACUACAAUAUAACAAAUGCACAUAACCUACCUAUACUUUACUUUGAAAUGAUCAUGCUCAAGUUUUAUAUAGUCAACUUACAUCAUGCAUCGAUCGAUGUACAAUAUUCAAACCACCUAUAGUUUUCGUUUUCUUUAUAGGAUGUAUUAACCAACCAAUCAUCCUAUUGAUUUUCUAAGCUUUAUAAAAAAUAAAUCAAUAAAUACAAACUCAAAAUCCAAUCUAUAUUAUUAAAACAGAAACAUUGCGUUGGACCUGACCUUUAUUUUGUAAGUUUUUAAAUAAAUGCAUCUUCCUACUUUAUAGUUAAACCUACAUUAAAUUCACUAAUAAUACUUUCUUUAUACUACUAUCAAUGUUUCCAAACAAUAUACUCAUUUCUUUAUACUACUAUCCAUGUUUCCAAACAACAUUAUAAUUAAUCUUGUGUCCAAACAAUAUAAAAUAUCAGAAUUCAUAUUUUUAAUAUUUCUAACAAUUUUCUUUCAAAUGGUUUAGAUAGAUUAUAUAAUUAAAAAAAAUCAAAUAAUUAAUAAAAACAACGAAAAUAAAUAGAACUUAUUUUUACAAGUUUAAAUACUAGAAAAAUAUUUCAAUCAAUAAUAAAUUAAUUAAAUUAACAUAUUAAUUUUAUAAUUACUAAAUAAUGGUUAUAUCAUUGAUUUAAGUAACAUAACAAUUCAAUAAUAGCAAUUACAUAAUAUAUAUAUAUAUAUAUAAACAUUAUACAUUGUACAAUAAAUAUAAUAACAAAAACAAUUAUGAAAAAUGUUCAAAAUAUAUAUGUUAUCUAAAAGAAAUGCUUAACACUAAUUGUGAACAACAAAUUUAAACUGAUUAUAAUAUAAAUUAUUAACAAGAUAAAUUACACAAAACAAUUAUUAAAAAAAUACUUAAGCUAUAUAAAAAGGAGCAAUAUGAUCAAGACAUAUUUAUAGUUGUUAAUUAUUUUAUAUCUUUCAUUUUUCUCUA